rnacentral:rRNA from 1 species
GACGAACGCUGGCGGCGUGCCUAAUACAUGCAAGUAGAACGCAGUUGCGAACGGGUGAGUAACGCGUAGGUAACUGCCUCAUAGCGGGGGACAACUAUUGGAAACGAUAGUAAAUCCCGCAUACUGUGAGAUGUACCUUAGUUGUAUUAGGUAGGUGGUGAGGGAAAGGCUCACCAAGGCCUCGAUACAUAGCCGACAUGAGAGGGUGAACGGGCACACUGGGAACGAUGAACGGCCCAGAAUCCUACGGGAGGCAGCAGUAGGGAAUCAUCGGCAAUGGACGGAAGUCUGAACGCGGAACUCCGCGGGAGAGAAGAAGGUUUUCGGAGCUGAAAGCUCUGUUGUUACAGAAGCGGUAACUAAACAGAAAGGGACGGCUAACUACGUGCCAGCAGCCGCGGUAAUAC